GAAAACCACGGUGGUACAGGAUGGGCCCGCGUCUGAUUAGUUAGUUGGCAGGGUAACGGCCUACCAAGACAACGAUCAGUAGCCGGCUUGAGAGAGUGGACGGCCACAUUGGGACUGAGACACGGCCCAGACUCCUGCGGGAGGCAGCAGUGGGGAAUAUUGCACAAUGGGGGGAACCCUGAUGCAGCAAUGCCGCGUGGGUGAAGAAGCACUCCGGUGCGUAAAGCCCUGUCAGCAGGGAAGAAAAUGACAGUACCUGGACAAGAAGCCCCGGCUAACUACGUGCCAGCAGCCGCGGUAAUACGUAGGGGGCAAGCGUUAUCCGGAUUUACUGGGUGUAAAGGGAGCGCAGGCGGCGUGGCAAGUCAGAUGUGAAAACCCGGGGCCCAACCCCGGGAGUGCAUUUGAAACUGCCAUGCUGGAGUGCCGGAGAGGUAAGCGGAAUUCCUAGUGUAGCGGUGAAAUGCGUAGAUAUUAGGAGGAACACCAGUGGCGGAGGCGGCUUACUGGACGGUAACUGACGCUGAGGCUCGAAAGCGUGGGGAGCAAACAGGAUUAGAUACCCUGGUAGUCCACGCC
rnacentral:rRNA from 1 species